GAUGAACGCUGGCGGCGUGCCUAAUACAUGCAAGUCGAGCGAACGGACGAGAAGCUUGCUUCUCUGAUGUUAGCGGCGGACGGGUGAGUAACACGUGGAUAACCUACCUAUAAGACUGGGAUAACUUCGGGAAACCGGAGCUAAUACCGGAUAAUAUUUUGAACCGCAUGGUUCAAAAGUGAAAGACGGCCUUGCUGUCACUUAGAGAUGGAUCCGCGCUGCAUUAGCUAGUUGGUAAGGUAACGGCUUACCAAGGCAACGAUGCAUAGCCGACCUGAGAGGGUGAUCGGCCACACUGGAACUGAGACACGGUCCAGACUCCUACGGGAGGCAGCAGUAGGGAAUCUUCCGCAAUGGGCGAAAGCCUGACGGAGCAACGCCGCGUGAGUGAUGAAGGUCUUCGGAUCGUAAAACUCUGUUAUUAGGGAAGAACAUAUGUGUAAGUAACUGUGCCCAUCUUGACGGUACCUACUCAGAAAGCCACGGCUAACUACGUG
rnacentral:rRNA from 1 species